UUCGACCUCGAAUCAUGUAGGAUUACCCGCUGAACUUAAGCAUAUCAAUA
rnacentral:rRNA from 1 species